rnacentral:tRNA from 1 species
CAUUAAGUGGCUGAAAUGUAUAGCAUUGGUCUCUUAAACCAAAAUAUAGUAAUUUAACACUACUCUUAAUGG